rnacentral:lncRNA from 1 species
CAUUUGUUAGCUGCGCGACCUUCACAACUAACGCAGCGCCGGCACCCUGUCCUCAUCUGGGAAGCAGGUUAAUGACUGCUGUGGGGACCAAAUAACCCUCUGCCUGUGCUUUAGAUGCACACAGAAUGCCGAGCACGCAGCAAGCCCGCUUCUCGUUCCUCCACACCGUCCCCAUUCUCUGUCCCCGGGGCAGCAGCCCUCAUGCACUCGAGCAGGACCCCAUCUGCCCCUGCAUCUCCGUGUGCAGCUCUUGCGAGGCCAGACGGCCACACACGGAUCAUCCUUCUGCCCGGAGGAGGAUUCUCAGGUCCACACUUUUUCUUGGCAGGUCUUGUUUUUGUUUUGCUUUGCUUUGUAAAUGAACUGGCUUUCUGAUCACUGGGACUUCCAUCCUCAGUGGGACACAAGAUCACCUGAUCCAGAAGCUCCCAGUUCCCUCAAGUGGCCAAAGCAGGUAGGGAGUGGCAACGGCAGACCACACGGCAGGGGGGGACCCCAGGCCAGUGACCAGCUUCUGCCCCAGCCAGGUUUUGGAGCUGGAGGAGCAGCCCUGCCUUGGGAGGAGCUGCCCCGUACCCUGCCAAGUCUACACAGUGACUCACAGGUAUUACUGUACCAGGAAAGGGUGGAGAGCAGCACCCAGAACUGUGGGCAGUGAGCGGACAGUGACCCCACAUGAUGCGGAAACCUAGGCUCCACUCCAGGGCCUCAGGUGGUCCAGGGACCACCCUGGUCUCUGAAUGUACAAAUGAAAUGGGAUAUGGAUUAAAGUCAGAUCCAGACUCUGGUCUCCUGGAAGCUGGAGGUCAUCACAGGCUCACGCUGCGUCCUCGGGUGUGGGCAAAGGCCAGAACCGUUGGACGAACACACCAGUUGUCCCCACAGGCCCCUGGGCCAGAUGCCAGUUACAGACAUCCCAGGGAAGAAUAGCCAGACCGAGUUCCACCAUGAGAGUCCUACAGGAAGCGGAGAGCUGAUCCUUGGAGCUGCCCUUAUGUGUCAGUCUGGCCCGAAAAGAGCAGACGGCCCUCACCUUGGUCAGCAUCUGGGACACAGACGAUAUCCCGGAGGAUCUGCUAGCAGACUGCAUGUGAGUACGAG